AUUAAAAUGUAGGUUAGGUUAUUGUUUUCAUCACAGGCCGUUAUAAUGAAUAAACAUAUUCGUAAAUCGUAAUGUACAUUUAAACUCGCACUUUUGAGGUUGUAUACCAAGAGCCAUGUUUCCCUGCAGCAGUAUAAAUUCCGAAAAGGACGGUAUAAGCCCUAUGUUCACAAAUCGUAACCCAAGACAUUUCAAAUAUCUACGAAUCGCUCAUAAACCGGACGGCUACUACGAUGAUAAAACUGGAACGCUCCUACUGGCAUAAAUAUACAAAUUUGCUUUCCUACCGCCUCCAAUAAGAUAGCCCGAUUGUAGAUGGCAAUCGACACAAACAGGCCGUCACGUAACUUCAUUGCUCGUGCAUUACUUCAACGGACCCGACACUCACCGCUAGCACGAAGGAAUGGGCCAUCAAAACCAGGCUGUAUAAGACCAUGCACCAAGUCAUUGGCGUUUCAGUUCUUCGUACAAAGAUGCCUUGCUAGCGGUCCGACAGAGUUUAUAUACGAUUGCAAACCCCAACACAACGGCAAUAAGGUCGCAAAGUUUCUAACGUGCUCCAAGAUUUCAAUUUGAAAUUGUCUGAGCCGGAAUAGUCAAGAGAGCCGUGGACGAGAGAAAGAUUACCAAAACCGUGGGAUAUAAUCUGACUUGACAGAUAAUGUGAAUCGACCUUAAAUUGUGUACCUAUUAGUUUCUGUAAAGAGAAGGCUGAGUAUUGGGUCGCUCCAAUGAAGUGAUAGAAAGCCCUACGUUCAGUUUCCCGAGAUGCUUCCCUGUUCUCAAAGGUUCUUCCAAAAAAGGUGCUUUUUACUAAUUUCUAGAUUGCAU